rnacentral:rRNA from 1 species
GCUAACUUUGGGCCAUAAGGCGCGGUAAUACAGGGGGUGCGAGCGUUAAUCGGAUUUACUGGGCGUAAAGCGCGCGUAGGUUGCUAAUUAAGUCAAAUGGGAAAUCCCCGAGCUUAACUUGGGAAUUGCAUUCGAUACGGGUUGGCUAGAGUAUGGGAGAGGAUGGUAGAAUUCCAGGUGUAGCGGUGAAAUGCGUAGAGAUCUGGAGGAAUACCGAUGGCGAAGGCAGCCAUCUGGCCUAAUACUGACACUGAGGUGCGAAAGCAUGGGGAGCAAACAGGAUUAGAUACCCGGGUAGUC